AUCUUAUAGGACUUCAGGUAGGCCAUUUUAUAUGUCUCUUUACAGGGGAAGUUCUAAUAAUUGGUCGUAUAAAAGAACUGCCACUGUGUCCAUUGCUCCUGACUUGAAACUGGUAUUGAAGAUACCAUAUGUUGAAAUACAGCGUGCAACGAAGAACUUCAAUUCAGAAGUGCUGAUUGGUGAGGGCAUGUUUGGGAAAGUCUACAAGGGAACACUCAGUGAAGGUGUAAAAGUGGCAGUUAAAAGAAGUGAACCAGGUCAUGGGCAGGG
rnacentral:misc_RNA from 1 species